ACGGGGGGUGCAAGCGUUAUUCGGAAUUAUUGGGCGUAAAGGGCGCGUAGGCGGCUCUGAAAGUCAGAUGUGAAAUCCCGGGGCUCAACCCCGGCAUUGCAUUUGAAACUACAUGGCUUGAGUAUGGGAGAGGGAAGUGGAAUUCCUGGUGUAGAGGUGAAAUUCGUAGAUAUCAGGAGGAACACCGGUGGCGAAAGCGACUUCCUGGACCAAUACUGACGCUGAGGCGCGAAGGCGUGGGGAGCAAACAGGAUUAGAUACCCUGGUAGUCCACGCAGUAAACGUUGAACACUAGGUGUAGCGGGUAUUGACCCCUGCUGCGCCGCAGCUAACGCAUUAAGUAUUCCGCCUGGGGAGUACGAUCGCAAGAUUA
rnacentral:rRNA from 1 species